CAGAUUUGAGUGCAAGACGACAAUGUUGAUCUUGUGCAUAGCAGUUGGGACAUCCGGAGAUCAAGGCUCACCUAAUGGCAUAGUAGUUUGACCCAUUAUCAUCUGUAUAUAACUUCUACUAGUAUUUUUAUUCGUAACAAGUCUGUACCUAUUUCUUAUUUUCAAUCUUGUACUCAUUUUCGUGGCUUUGUUCCAUUGUCC
rnacentral:lncRNA from 1 species